GAGAGAGAGAGAGAGAGAGAGACAGAGAAAGAGAGAGAGAGAGAGCCGAGCCCCGCCGGCGGCCCAUUGAGGAAAGAUGGCCACAGUCAGUGCAAACGGAGUGCAGCAGGAGAAUGGAUUCAGCACCACGAACAGCGGCGGCAGGAUGAACGGGCUCAGCCUCGGCCAGAACACCAUCCCCAUGAAGGACCACGACGCCAUCAAGCUCUUCAUCGGCCAGAUCCCCCGCAACCUGGAGGAAAAGGACCUGAAACCGCUCUUUGAGGAAUUUGGCAAGAUAUACGAACUCACGGUACUGAAAGACAGGUUUACCGGGAUGCAUAAAGGAUGUGCCUUUCUUACAUACUGUGCCAGAGAAUCAGCACUGAAAGCCCAGAGCGCCCUCCAUGAACAGAAGACCCUGCCAGGGAUGAAUCGGCCUAUCCAGGUGAAGCCAGCAGACAGCGAAGGACGGGGAGAAGACAGGAAGCUGUUUGUGGGGAUGCUGGGCAAGCAGCAGAGCGAGGAUGACGUCCGGCGGCUCUUCGAGACCUUCGGCCAGAUCGAGGAGUGCACCGUCCUGCGGGGUCCUGAUGGGGCCAGUAAGGGCUGUGCCUUCGUCAAAUUCUCCAGCCACGCAGAAGCACAGGCUGCUAUCAACAGCUUGCACGGUGGACAGACCAUGCCUGGGGCCUCGUCCAGCCUGGUGGUCAAAUUCGCAGACACGGACAAGGAGAGGACCCUUCGUAGGAUGCACCAGAUGGCGGGUCAGCUAGGCAUCUUCAGUCCCAUGACCAUCCAGUUUGGGGCCUAUGGCGCCUACUCUCACGCUGUAAGUCUCAGCCCGGCGGGGGAGGAGACGCAGAUGAUGCAACAGCAAGCAGCCCUGAUGGCAGCAACACAAGGGUCCUACCUGAACCCCAUGGCGGCCAUCGCUGCCGCGCAAAUGCAGCAAAUGGCAGCUUUCAAUGUCAACGGCCUGGUGGCCACGCCCAUGACACCAUCCUCAGGCACCAGCACACCCCCGGGCAUCGCUGCGACAGCCGUCCCCAGCAUAGCCACCCCCAUCGGAGUCAACGGAUUCAGCGCCCUGGCCCCCCAAAGCAACGGGCAGCCCACAUCAGAGCCCAUCUACACCAACGGCAUCCACCCAUACCCAGCACAGAGUCCGACGGUGGCCGACCCUCUCCAGCAGGCUUAUGCCGGCGUCCAACACUACGCAGCAGCCUACCCAGCCGCCUAUGCGCCAAUCAGCCAAGCGUUCCCACAGCAACCGACCAUCAUCCCCCAGCAACAAAGGGAAGGGCCAGAGGGUUGCAACCUGUUUAUUUAUCACCUGCCCCAGGAAUUCGGUGACGCCGAGCUAAUGCAAAUGUUCCUCCCUUUCGGCAACGUCAUCUCUGCGAAGGUCUUCGUGGACAGAGCCACCAAUCAGAGCAAAUGUUUUGGCUUUGUGAGUUUUGAUAACCCAUCCAGCGCCCAAGCUGCCAUCCAGGCCAUGAACGGCUUUCAAAUAGGCAUGAAGAGGCUGAAGGUGCAGCUAAAGCGGCCAAAGGACGCCAACCGACCUUACUGACUGGUCUGCAGUCUGGAUGAAGUGUGAAGUGGCCUUGCUCCCGCUAUAGCCGCACCCCUCUCGCCCGACGCCAAAGUGUCUCCGCAGCAGAUGAAGGGCCACAACACCUUAUUUCCACAAGUGCAGUCGAAAAGUACAAAGACUCCUUGCUCUGCUACAUAUCACGAAGGAAUGGUGGUCUCUUGAUCCCACUGGAAUCCCAUUGAAAGAUUGGGCGACAGAGAAGAGAUUUCCUUUUGUUUUCCUCCCCUUUCCUGUUUUUUUUUGUUUUUUUUGCAAAUGCCUCUUUUUAUUAUUCCGUUUUGGUUUGGAGAUUUUCUGCAGAGACCAACUUUUUUGCUGCUCUUUUUUAGACAUGAUGGGUUGGAGAAAAAAAAAAUGACGACAAAAAAACUUUAUAGACUCAUUAUGCUCAAAGCAUGCAUACCAUCACCAACACACACGCAUAACACAAAAAACAAUGGAAAGAACUACAACAACAAAAAAAAACUUUGUACAUGUAUAAAUAAGUGCAAAUGCCAAUUCAAGUACUGAAGCAAACACUCAUAUAUAUAUAAACACACACACACCAGCCUGCUGCCAUUUUGGUUUUUGUGCCUACACAGAUGUGUGCUGUGUGACAGGGCCGAGCUCUGGAUGGAUGAAGACGACGACGACGAUGAAGAAGAAGAAUCCAGGAUAAAUUACAUGCAUCAUUCCUUAGGAAAUAGGGACCAAAGGACUAAAACACUUUUUAAAAGAAUAUAAAUAUAUAAAUAUAUAAAUAUAUAUUUAAGAAAAAUCAUACCUUGUAGCUGCAAGUAUUACUCGUAGUUGAAAAAACAAUGAAAUCAAUAUCCAGUGGCCUACUGUAAGUACGAAUGAAAAGAAAAUGGACUUCAUGUAUUUAAAAAAAUUGAAUCUUAGCUUAGGGGCUGAUUUUUUUUUUUUUUGCUCUGGAUGCUGAUCGGGCGCCAGGUUGUAUUAUACGUUAGAAGUAGAUUUAAAAAAAAAAAAAAAAGUAGAUUUGCUAACUUUUGCUGUUUAAAAAAAAUACUUGAAGUUGCAAUGGAAAAGGGACAAUGGACAUCACAUGGUCACUGAAUACUUCGUCAAUACGAUGUCCGUCCAAGGCAACAGAGAGAGACUGUUCCAGAAAAAAAAAAAAAAGAUGACCCAUGCCUGCCUGCGCUGGACAGGGUGCCGACACUGAAGGCUUCUCCUUGGCCUUUACGAUGUUCAAGCGACAAUCCAUGGUAAAGACCGAACAACACGGACCCCGGUUGGUGUCGUUUUGGAUUUUUCUUUCCUGACUUUUUUUUUGUAUUGAAACAUGUGAAGCCGCAUAUUGUUCAAAACAAAAUGAUUCUGUGAAGGAAAUGAAGACAACGAUUUUUAAGGGAACAAGAAAGCUACCAAAACUGCCAGAAGAAUGACGCUGAAAUAAUGAAGGCCUUGUUUUCACUGAGCAUUUUUUCGUGUUUCCAUUGUUCUAAAGGAUUACAAAAUAUUCAAAAUGUAAAUAGCCUCGCAUCCUAGCUGCGUCCAAUUUUAAAAUUAAUUAGAAAAACAUAUAUAUCAUGAUCAAUAAAGUUUUAAAUCUACUGUUUGGAAAUCCCCGGAAAUACAACUGAAAUAGGUGCAGAUUCUGGAAGAUCUAGAAAGCUUUCUGUGUGGGUUAUCAUCUGUAGCUCCACAAAUUGACACAAAGGGCCGAAAAUGAGCAUAAUAGGUCCCCUUUAAAGUAAUGGACUCAGUCAUUUUUGGACAAAAAUGAAUUUUUGGCCUAAAUUAUCUCCUAAUAAUGCUUAAUAAAGUUCUUAGUUGAAAUAAUCAUGCUCUUGAUGCGCUAUAGAACAAAGGUCUAUGUCAACACAGUGACUUAGGCCAUGUUAUUUUUUUUGGUCAAGUCAACCAUUUUGAUCGAUCGAUUGAUUGAUUGAUUGAUUGAUUGAUCAAACAUGAUAAAAUCAUGAAACUCAAUGGAUCUUACUAGUAUCAGACUGGAAAAAAGGCAGAAGACCCAAGUUUACAUGAUUUGAGUUUUUUUUUGUAUUUUCCCCAAAACAUAUGACCAAUGCCUAUGACUUAGACCAUUAUUUUAAUAAGGUGACAAUAUUUCAGCACCCUUUACAACAAUGGAAAUGCAGUAAAAUGUAAACUAACCACUCAGUGGGAACAAGACAAAAAAAAAUCUGUAUCGUUGUGUCAAAAGUCCCCGUAAAUGCCCCAUAAAUGUAGGCUACACAUGGAAACCCCUUAGCGAUGGCGCUUAUAACAACAUGAUGUACAUUCCACUGUUAACAUGUCCUUGACCUGCUGUCUACACUGAUUCCAGAUAAAAGAUAAGGACACACUCCUUCGUAAAAUGCAAACAAUUCCGAACAUUCCCUCAACCUGCUCUGUCAAACAAACGCCAGAUUCCUACCCCAACACCCUUUGAGUUUCGGCUGAUGACAGGCGCUAAGAAGCAGGUCUCGGCAGGAGUAAGCAUCCUUUUAAACUAAUGCUUCUAGGAUGACUAUAAAAAUAGAAGGUGUAAACACGCUCCUGGUGACAAGCGCUAUAUAUCUGUGCUGCCAGGAAAUAGGAUUAAAGGGUUCAAAGAGUCUAUUAGCUUGGUCCACCAAACAGGAAAAAAAAAAAACAAGACCAGAUUUAUUGCAAAUCAUUCAGCGAAUUCGUAGACCCAUCGCAAUAAAGCACAAAGUGCCAAGCAAGUGGCGGAACAAACCAUUCCCUAAGCUUUGUUCCUAUUUUUAAAUCUGUUCGCACCACCGCUGAAUCAUCCCCCUGUACCAUAUUAGCCAUGCCGGUCCUCCACCUCCAAUGAUCGCUCUAUAAUCACCAGCUUUUAUCCAUCAGAAGUUCGAGUAAACAAAAAAAAAAAACAUAUCACCCGGGACCAAAAUGACAAAGAGGGAAAUUAGUUUUUUUGUUCUGCGAGAACAUAAAUGAUGAAGGGAAGAUUAGCCACAAUUUGUAUCCCUGGAGAGGCUGAAACACUCCACCCGACACCCCUUAAGACGCAAUGACGCAGGUGGGUUGGAAUCCUUCAUGUCAUGGCUUAGCUUACGGUUUAUAUUUUCAUAAAAUACCAACAAUAAUUUACCCAAUUCUGAAAGCUGUGACACUUCUUGUUGCAAAGUAACCUCAAAUUCUUGAAUUUACAGCAAAAACUUCAUCUGUAAAAGUGAAAUCUGUGUUUUAUAUUAUGGGAUAAAUCAUGGAAGUUACAGUACUUUACUAUCAGGUGCAUGCACAAAGCAACCAGUCAGUCAAAAACAAUGCUCGGAUCUGUUCAUGAGAGGCUGAGCUAAUUGAUGGGCUUAUCUAAUGUUCCGUAAGCAAUGACAUUUCCUGUGCUUGCCUUAGCCGUCGGAGAUCAAACACUCACAUCACCCGAGCGUCAAUACCAGAUGCUGCUCUACUUCCCAUUCCAGUGGCAGGCUGAGGCACCCUGGUGAGCCAACAACGCCCCCACGCUAUCUUUGCAUGCUGCCGACUCUCGGGUCUAAACAGCACGGUAUUGAUGACACAUAAUCUAGUAAAUGGAGACAAAAUUAUACAAUGUGAAAUCAAACCAGUCAGGGGUAUAUGACACGUUCUCUGAACCUGCUGACAAAAAACCCGAAGAGGGAGUCAAAAUUUAUAGCUGGAGGGAACUCAAACGUGCUUAUUUUUUGUGGUGUUCAAGCUUAUCCUCAUAAGUGUCGCCGUGGGGGAUGCUGGAGCCUAUCCCAGCUGUCUUCGGGCAAGAGUACACCCUGGACUGGUCGUCAGCCAAUCACAGGGCAGAUAAAGUCAAACAACCAUUCACACUCACAUUCAUACCUAUGGACAAUUUGGAGUUACCAAUUAACCUAGCAUGUUUUUGGAAUGUGGGAGGAAACCGGAGUCCACACAGAAAUGGCUGAUGGUGGAAUCGAACUCAGGUCUCCUAGCUGUGAGGCCUGCGUGCUAACCACUCACCCAGCAUGGCAUCAUAUCAAUGUAAUAAAGAUAGCUGUACAAUGCGAAGUUCAUUAAAACAGUAGCUAACAAAACGCUGCAAAAAACCAUGACAACCCACAAAGAAAGCUUUCUAGAUCUUCCAGAAUCUGCACCUACUUCAGCGCUAUUUCUGGGUAGAUUUAAAAUCACCAAAAUAUGUAUCUGCCUUAUCUUAGAUGAAAGUGAAAACCUUAAAAAACGAAGAUAUUUCAUCUAAUUGAGCCUUUAUACAUCAUCGGGCCCAAGAUCACACCCCUCAUAUAUGAAAGUAAACCAACUGAACACCAUGCUAGCCAACAUUUAGCGAUGGAGGCAAGGAAAACCUCCCUUUAAGAAAGAAAGAACCAAUAGAACUAAGGCAAGUUGUGUUCAAUGACCUACAACAAAGCUUGUAUGUGGACCGACGAACAGUUGUCAGAGCCCCAUUGGCCAAAAGAUCGAUGUUUUGAGCGAAGUUGGAUCCCAACCAAUGUCGGGGGUUAAACACGUCUCCCAGUCUUCAAUCCCUUCAUCCCCAAAAAUAGUCGUGAUUGUCACAGAAAGGAAGUGAAAUGUAAUUGACUGAAAGUGUAGAGAUAAUUAAAGCAACCUGUUGGACAGGAGGGAAGAAAUUAAUGCCUCCCAAUUUAAUGGCUGCUUAGGGAGGGAGAGCUUUUCCGUCCGUCAUCUGACUCCAGUGUGGAAUGGGAUUUUUUUUGGGGGGUGAUGGAAAUAGGUACUGGUAGAAGGGGAGUGUGCUCGCUAAAUGAAAACGCCACAAAAGUCAUACCCGAUACUCAGGACAUCAGGCGCCGUGAUUAGUGGAGGGAUUCAGACCGACAUUGAAAGAUUGCGUCCCGUCACUGGGGUGGAGUACUGACUGAUAAGGUAGAUAAAGCUACCGGGUCUGUCAUACAGCAUCAUGAACCAAUUACAAGAGCAACAACAUGUUCCACUAAUAAUGCACAUAAGGGUCAGAAGGCAUGUAUGAUGACUAGGAAUAAUAAUAAUAGUAGUGACCAAUUUUUUGUAUGAUUUCUUCAUGUAAAUAGCCUAUCAAAUACAAAUUAGAGAGAGAUUGUAGGGUAGUUUGUUUGAGAAGCCUCGCUCUGUGGUACAAUGAUGUCACAAAACAAACCACAGCAGUCGACACUUGCAGGAUCUCGGAAAGUCGUUUUUUUGAAGUCACUCCAGUUUCGAACGUUCUCACAUCUUACAGUUCUGAAUUGGACCGAGGUUUCGAAGUGACGACGGCCAAGUGGUACGGUUCAAGUCAGUUCAGGUGAAGCCUAAUGAAGCCUAUGUUUCCAUUGUUGACCAAUCAACGGACAGUGUCUUUAUCUGCACCAUUCAAAAGCGUUUUUGACUAGAACCCAUACAAUGUGUCCGACAUCUUGGAAUCCUUCCCAUUCCGAAUGAAAACUGAACAGAACUGUAACACUUGGUGAAAAGGAGGCGAGGGUGACCAUAUCAACCUAGAACCCAGCCUUAGGAAAUGAAACCACGACCAGGGCACAUAUGUAGGCUAUUUCGGAACAUUAAAAAACAAAAAGGAACCAUGAUAAAUGGAGAUUGAACGGUACCGAUAAUCGACGAACCUUCCGGAAAGUCUCCAAUCUGCCACUACUCUCUCCUGUCCACACUGCCGCAUCUCUCUUGUACAUACAAUAUAGCUUAUUUUUCAAUUUUGUUCCGCCUUCUUUAUAGGCUACGUACAAUAUCUCAUGUUCAAAAGGUAAGAAAAAAAAAUAAAAUGAUAUAUUUCAGUCAAAUAAAGAGAAGGAACCUAUGGAAUAAUUUAUCAAAAAAAAAAAUAGAUGAGGAAAAUACUUUUAUUUCUUGUAUAGUGAAUCGCUGAUGUUGAAAGUUUGGGAUUUUAUACUCUCCGUGUUUUGUGAAUAUCAGCAGAAGCUGGGAUGAACUCAUUGUCAUGAGGUUUCUGAUGCUUUUUUUUUUUUUUUAAAGCUGCACAAUCCAUAUUUCAAAUACCUUCAAGAUAUCCUGCAUGCUGACGGCUCUUGGAUCAAUGAAAAAAAAAAAUACAAUAAAAUAAACAAAAUGCACUAUUAAAAGUACUACUGACUCAUAGCGAUGGUCAUGGUGGGAUGUGAAGGAAGUCCAUUGCGCUCUUGAUUAUGUCACUUUUCGGGGACCUUGUACAGAUCUGAGCUUAUAAAAAUUGUCAAUUUUAUGACAUUUUUUCCAUGUCUGCACGCAAAUUAUCUAACCUCGGGGGUAGUGUCGAAGGGUUUUCUGCAGUUUCAACCGCAAAACUUGAUACGUAUUUUCAAUAUCAUACAAGACGCUAACGUUGUCACGCGUCAAUUCAUCGACUUCGAUAUGUGGAUGCACAUUUCUGUGUAUAAGGCACUUGACGCUGCAAUAAUUAUCAAAAUACUUCAGAAAUAUCCCUUUUGACCUGAUCAUGGAAUCAGUUUCAACCCUGGGGAGGACAAUAAACCCCCAAUUAGCUGGUCCUCGGUUUGAAAGGAGUCCCCGAAAGUCGUCAAAGUCAAGUCAACCCACAAACAGAUCAUAGCCUGUGCUGUCGUUAUUGUAUUUAAGCUAUGGAUGAAUGCCGAACAACUUUGUUUUGUUUCUUAAGGGCUGGUGGUUGUCAUGGAAAUGUCUUUGGACUUCAUGUACUCUGUGUUUACAUUUUGUUAUAUUGUAAUUUUUUUGUUUGUUUGUUCGUUUUUGACUCCCAACUGAUAUCUGCUCCACUCAUUUACCCGAUGUGAGGAGGGAAUUCUGCCUUAAACCCAGCCUGUUCUCUCACUCGCAGUUACUACCUGUGAACAUUGCUUGGACCACCCUGUAUUGUAGACGCGGUGGUGGUGUUGGGGGGGGUGCCAAAUCUUUUAACGUCAGAAAAAAAACCUGCUGUUUAAUUUACCUCCGUUUUGUGCAUGACUCUCCAUUACCAUUGGUUACAAGGACCAAAAAUGUCUCGGCCUACUGAGAAUCCAAUCAGACUCUUCACUAAUCAUUCCCAGCUUCAUCAUCUGAUCCUAUUCAUUCAUGUAAAAUGUAUUUAUAUUUAUUCAAAUUCAUAAAUGAAUGAAAUGCUUUUAUUCCAUGACUGAGAUAGCAUUUUUUAAAUUUGUUUUUGAAACAUAUGUAAUUUGAAUCAACGUCAGCUCGGGUCCAGUUUCCCCCUGAUUUGGAGUGAGAUCCUUCCCAUAGUGCUCCUGAACUCUGUAGUUCUCUAGUUCAUUAUAUUCUGCUUAGACUAAAAUAAAGCACAGUCCUGUA